ensembl:lncRNA
CUGAAUUAUACACUUGAAUGUGGUUAAGAUGCUAAAUUUUAUGUUACACGUAUUUGGUACAAUUUUUUAAAAAAGAGAUGAGCAAAUAUUUGGAGGUGCCGGACCAUGUCAGCUUCAACCUGACACUCCCUCCUGAUCAAGCAGACACGUGAAGGAGAACCGAAAAGGAGUGACUCACUCACUCCGUGCCAUGGCAGUACUUCAAUGAAUGUAUAAAACUGUAGUCCACAUAAGAAGCCAGGAGGCUGGUAAAGAGAGUGGGCGUGAGGCUGAGGGUGUGUCCCCUGGCUCCCAUGAGGAGGCCCCCAGGAUCCCCCCAUCAGUCUUCGGCGAGGAGCUCAGUGAGCUCAGUUCCAGUGUUUGGGGACAGCUGGGCAAACUCCCUGUCUCCACGUCCUUCGUGCUGCUGGACACCAGAGGACUUGGUGACUGGGCCAUUGCACUGGGCCCACGAGGUGCCUUGCCCAAGGCCGGGGAUGGUGAGGUAUCCGCGGAAUGGCUACAGGGAUGAAUUCUGUUCUGGGGGCGGGAAGGCUGAGCCAGGCCGCCUGCCUUCAAGAUGCUCCCUCUCAGUGGAGGAGAAAAGCAGCCCAUCAUUCAUCACAAACAGCAGAGAAAUGCAGGGGAGGGAAGCAUCUGGAAGCAGGGGUCCUGAUCCAGCACAGGAGAGGAGAGGGGCAGGAAGUGGAGUCACUGAAACUGCCUUUGCCAAGGUCAUGGAUGCCCUCCAUCUCGUCACUUCCAAAGGGCACUUUUCAGGCUUCAUCUCCUGGCCCUCUCAGGAGUGUGGGGCCUGCAGCCCACUCCCGUCCUCCUGAGAACCCAUCGCACUCUCCUGGCCGCCUUCCUCCUUCCCUGGUGCUCCUGCUCUGAGCCUUUGCUCCUCCUCCUCCUCCAUUUAAGCCCUGGAGUUGUUCUCCAAAUGCUCCUGCCCGCCGGGGCUCUUACUCUCUCCAGCUCAUGUGGCAUCUCUGCCUGCCAGUCUCCCAAAAGUGCCCCGAGGUGAACCCUGGAUUUCCCCAAGCUGUUCUACCUGCUUCUCCACCAGGUACCACCAUUCACUCGGUUGCUCGAGCCCCGAACCUGGUAUCCAUCCUUGAUUUCUCCCUUUCUCUCAUCCUCUGCAUUGCACACAUCAGCAAGCCCCAGUGUCCUUCUGCUGCCCCCGUAUUUCCAGUCUGCCUGCUUCUCCCUUUCUUGGGAGGGAGCCACCAUCAGCUGGCUGGACGGCUGCGCGGUCUCCUGAACUGCUUUCCCACCCUCCGUGCCUCUUCCCCACUAAAAUGCCUUUGUCACCAGACAGCUGGAGUCAUCUCUUUUUUCCAAAAGCUCACUUCUGUAAAUCCAAGCAAAGCCGCCCCUUCUUGAAACCGUCAUGCAGCUUCCUGCCGGUGGCGGACUAGCACCAUCUCACCCGCGCACCAGGCCGCCUGGCUGGCUGCUGCACCGGCCCCUCCGCCCGCCCUGGCCUGGCUCCCCACCUCUCCCUCUGCCUCUGCCCGGCCUGCGGCCUCACUUCCCCUUUCUCUGACGCACCAAGCGCUCUGUCCUCUGGUGUGUCUGCACCUGUUCUCUGCCCGCUCCUCCCCCAGCUUUCUCAGGGGCGGGCUCCUUCAGCUUCAGUAUCCCCUCCCCUUGCUGGACUGCACUAUCUCAACCAGC